rnacentral:lncRNA from 1 species
GCGUGGGCUUAUAACUAAGCAGGGCAUUAAAGUGAUUGGUUGUUUGAACUAAGCCUUACCAGGUGAGGUAUAGUGAUCUUGGACUGUUCACCUUGGUGAAGUCGAACAAAACACGCCCCCUACCUCGGGUUAGUAAGGCCCUCCAACCUAAAUGGUUGGAUAGCAAACCUCAAUUUGUGAUAUGAUUGGGGUGUUAGGCACGAAUACUAAACCCCACGGAUCAAGAAUCAUCACUCCUCAGCGUGUUGCCUGGCUUGGGCUCUCAUCACACAAUCACUUUUUUGUCUCUUCCUUAUCCUCUCUCUUUGAAGGCUAACUUCACUAUUUUAGGAAACAGUUCACUUUUGCAUAAAUAAAUAAAUAAUGAUAAGAAACAUUGUAUAAAUAAAUGGGAGAUUCACUAUUUUAUCCAAUAUAGAGGUCCAAAUUAUAAAA